CGGUUCAAUAUCGAUACGAGUAUCGUUGCACCCCUAGUAUUUAUGUAUGUAUCAUAAUGUUCAUAUCUGCACAUUCAUUUUGUCAGCUCGCAUUAAUGUAAUUAAUAUCUCUUAGCGGUAAGGAGAAGGCAUAUUUACUUUUGUUUGUGAUCGAGAAACGUUCGAAGUGCUUCAAAGGGAAAUGUUGUACUUUUAAUUUUACAAUAAUUGGCAGUCCCCCUCGUAGCCUCCUAUAUUACAGUGCUACCUACACUGAGCAGCAAAUAUAAAUCACUGGUCUUUAUAUAACUCCUCUAUCUGAAUGUGGGUGAAAAAAUACACUUCAGUCCAUAAUUUCCUUCCUUAAUUUUGCCUGUGUACACCACUCUAGUGGAUUUUAAAUCAAUCAAUAAGUGAUUAAAGUGCAGACUUUCAGCGAUUAAGCUUUAAAGGGUUCAGCAGGUAUUACAGGAAUGUUUACAGUCAGUUUCUCAUUUUCAGAGGCUCGCUUGUAAACUAACACAAUUUUAAAUAUUAGGGUUACUUUUUUAAUGCUUUGAUUAAAAUCUGCUGUAGUCUGCAGAGUUGGGGUCAUUACUCGAAAAAAGUAAUACUCAUUACUUUUAAUUAAAGUAAUGCAAAAUGUUAGUUAAUUACUCGUUGGAUGAAGUAAUUUGCAUUAAUGCAAUUAGUGAAUUUAGUCCAAUAACAUGCUAUAUUAAUGCGUUACUGAAAAAUAUAAUGUGAUCACAGUCACACAUUUUUGUAGUUAGUUCAAUUCGAUUCACUUUUAUUUAUACAGGUAAAGACCUUGCAGUGAUAUGUUCUCUCCUUCCCCAGACUUUUCUCUUCCCAACAUUCUGGUACAAGUUCUUGGUUUCAUCUAUCCAAAGAUUUUUUCCCCCAGAACUGUGCAGCCUGUUUUCUCUUCUUCUUUUUUUCUGGCAAAAUCUCAUCUGGUGUUCGUGCUAAUGAGUGUAACCACUGGUUUGCACCUUGUUGCUGUAUUUUCAUUUAUGAUCUCUUGCUUCUAGACUUUGAUACAUCUACCUCACUUAGUAAUCAUCUAUAGUAACUCACUUAAUAAUAAUCUAUUACCAGACUAUAGACUCUGGUGAUCUUCUUUUUCUUUUUCACUAUGCACAUAUUCACUUUUGAUAUGCUUAAUGCUAGCAAGCUAUCACAAAUUUACUUUUAGGUCCAUAAGUAUUUCAACAGUGAUGUAUUCUUUUUAAUUUUGCGUUUGUACAGCAACAUUUACACUUGGCCCUCUCAGCAUGAGGCACUAUAUAUUGAGAUGGCUUUGAUUUCUAAACCAGUAACCAGUGAAGGUCUGAUUUACAGCGAAAUCCAGGGGAAACUACCCCCUAAAAAAUAACUGUCUAAAUACUUUUGGACAUGACUGUAUGUUAAAAUUAUUGGUAUGAUGGUGCAUGAUUGUUGACUUGUAAUUUGUGUGUAAGGUAGAGACAGGACCAUGAAGUCUAGACUCCACUAGUGGUGGUGGAGAAAGAGCACUGGCAAAAAAGUAGUCUGACAGACAGAGUGACAGAAUAACAAUAAAGAGGAAGCAGACACUGAUUGCCUCUGAGGAAGCACUGAGAAGGUCACUGGACCAGAAUAGUGAGAAUGAGGUAAGUCUGACACAUGGGAAAGUGACAAAAAGAGUAGUCCAAUUCUCUCAGAAUAGUCCCAGCAGUGGAGGCAGAAUUGAGGAAAGACAGCAUCCUCAUUUAACUGACAAAUAAACUCCUCAAACUGGGAGAUUGCUUUCCCAAAUUAUACUUACAAUAAGUACUUGUUGCUGAAAAUCUGAGUGCAGGUCAUUGUGACAUUGCUGAUUUACUUAAGAAAAAAAUCCAAGAACUUUCACAUCUAUUGUCAUCAAAUUCGCCUGUGAGUUGAUGCUGCUGCACCGUUAAUGGGAAUAAUCUGAUCUUGAAUCUUGUCCUUUCAGGAAAUGAAGGUACAUUCCACUCAUGCAGAUGCACUUAAUCAUAAUGACGAUAUUUUCAUUCUAACAGCAGCCCAGGGACUCGUUUUAUGUCCAAACAUAAUAGUUUUGGCACCAAACCUACCUUGAUUAUGACAAACCUCUUCUUGUACUUAUUGUCUUUGUCUUAGGCUGUGAGGCAAAGACGUACAACCUGCUAUUUUAAACGCCUCUGAACGGCAGCAUCUGUUUCACGAGGAAUCAAAUCGGGCUGCUGAUGCAGACACAGCUGAUCCCUCACCCUUGGGGCUUGAAUCGAAGAAAAUGUUGGGUAAACACAACCCAAGCGAAAUUGCGAGCAAUGGAUUUGGCUUAGGUAGUGUUUAUCCAUCAAUCUGUUUGGCUUACAAUAAACCACAGAGGGUAUUGUUCCGAUACGGCUCCCUGUUGUGUAGAACAGAGCGGAGAAUAAGAUGCUCAUCUCGUGACCGCCAUACAGAGAAAGACGGGAACCAGAUGUAAUCCACCCACACAAGAUGGGCGGAUGGCUGCUGAGAUAAAAGUGCUUCAUACCGGCGAUGUUUCUAUCUGAGGCUAACAACUGUGAAGAAAACAUGUAAGCCUACAUGGGGUGUCCGUCUAUUCAUUUUCUUGGCCUUUUAUCCAACCAGGGCUGCAGUGGGGCUAGAGCAAAUCCCUGCAGACACAGGGCGAAAGGAUAGUUCCCCAGUCCAUCACAAGGCUAACACGGAGAAACAGACGGACAUUCACAGGACUCUGGAUUCAGACUCAGCACACCAGGAAUGUCUUGAUGCAUGCUCAAUCAUCCAGUCUCGACUUUUUGACACACCAAGAUGGAACUUGAGAGUUGGGACUCACUGCAGAAAUGCAAAGAGAAGCACUGUAGAAGAGGCAGAAUUUGAGGCUAAGGUAAGUAUAAGCAGGUCUUUGAAUUUUGCAAGUCAGAUUGUGCAGUUUUAAUUGCAGGUGUCCAAGAGUGAGAAGGCAGGUGAGUUAAAACGAUGUCCUUCUCUUUGUUGGUUCAGGAUUCCAGACAUGGAUUCAGAUUAAAUUCCUCAAAGGAACAGGUUUCUCAACCUGAGCUUGAGCAGAUCACUAGGAAGCUGUCAGAGACUUGGGGUUAGUGAACACUAGCAGAUAACCAUGUGACUGUUUACAACCAUAUAUGUGAGAAGCACAAGCCAAACAGGAAGACUCCACCCACAGGCAGAUCCAGGGAGCACCUGCCUACAUCUCCACCCGAGACUCAGAAACGGAUUCUUCGGACGAGCAGAAGGGGGAAAAACAAUACAAAACCUCCAAACUGACUGGACCAUAACACCGUGAUUCUUUGGUGAUAGGCUGCCUCCCAUCAGGCGACCUAUGCAGUCACCUUGCAAUCAAAAGUGGUCACUCAGAGAUUCUUAUUCACAUGUAGGUUGUAUCCUAUUUUUACUCUAGUGUUACUGAGCCAUAAGGCUGCUAGUCCUCAACUGUAUAUAAAGUCUCUAAUUUUACUCUAUUCAACAAAGACUUAAGUACAUCCACCUUUAUGUUUGACUGCUUCUGAGGCUGUGCCAAGGAACAUGGUGCCAAAUCUGUCAACACAGUCUCUAUGAUAAUAAUUAUAAACAGCCUACUCGCCAAGACAGUUUACAACUGUUGGCAGCUUGUGUUUACGUGUCUGUGGCUCCUCUGGUGUGAAGCAGAAUGCUUGUGAAUGCCGGCAUUCUUGCUUUUAAUUCGUUUCCUGGCGGAAAUCAUCUUGAUGAAAGACUUCCUUUAAAAAUAAGCUUCUCUAUGCAACCUUUCCGCCAGAAUAGAGAGCUAGUUAGCAGCCAGUGUAGUAGCAACGACACAGUGCGGGCGUAUGUGUGUGCGUGUACAGUAUGUGUGAAUUGAUUCAGCAUUGCUAGCAGUGCAGUGCGGCACUGUGAUGAAUCACUGCAAUUUGCGCAAGCCUGCAGAGGCGGCGAUAUCACAGACUAUUAAAGCCAGCAGCCCUGCAUUGAUUACCAUAGCAGGUAAUUGCUUGGUGAAGAUAAAAUCAGUGCUAAUCCGGCGAUGUUGUCAGGUUUUGAAACAAGAAAAACUUUUGAUCUUCCCAGCGGGUAUGUAAAAACUUGGUUAUGCCAAAAAAGAGAUAAGCUGAAGUGGACCAAAUCAAUUCCCACAGUGGGUUAAUUGCUUUUCUGUGCAUGUCACACAUUUUAACAGUGAUGGGGGAUUGUUUUUGUAUUGAUUCACUGCACAAGGAAGACUUUAAUUUCCCCACACCUCUCUGGCAGCGCGGACACACUGAUGUUAGAGAAUCCAAUUAUCGGGGCUUGCACCAAAACUACACUAAAACCACAGGAGAAGUGUGACAUAGAAAUGACUGACACAAUUCAAUGGGCCUUUUGAAAUUUUGAAUGAGUCAAGAUACAGAUCAAUAGAUUAUACAAUGUCACAUUCGCUGAGAUAAUAAACAGGUUUAGGAAAGCAUGCGUCCACUGUACUCUGUGGAAGGACUUUUUCCUGGGAAAUAUGCGGCGUGAAAAGCUUGAAACACAAUUCUGUGUCAGUACAUGCAACACUGCAUGCACCAAUCCAACCCAUGUUAAGUCUUGCAGUUAUUCCAAAUUAGGGGCUGCUUUUAUUGAUAAGUGGGUCUCAGCUAGUCUGCUGUGUGUCCACAAGGCAUCACAUCAGCUAAUCUGAGUCACCGAUGUACCGCUUGACAGUGUUUCUGAUGGGGUAAGUUAUUAUCUGACAAGUAGCAUUGAUGACUGUGUGUUUAACUGGACUAACUAACUGUCCAAGGUGUCUAUGCUUCAGCUUUGGUGACUGACAUUUUAAUAUUUUAGAUGUAUGUUGUUUAACACUUUCUAGCAGGGUAGCUGUUUUUCUGCAGUACACCCAAAUGCUCCUUGCUAUACAAGCUAGCUAGGAUAAGCUGACAACUUGGGACUCUGCAUUUGAGACAGAAAUGACCACUACUUGUUUAAAAAAACAAAACAAAAGGAAGAUGUCAAAUCAAGGCUUCGAAACUACGAUUCUAAAGUCAGUGGGUGAUGACAAUGGCUACAAUGUUGAUACUGGAUGGAGAAAAUGUGGAAAAUUAAGCAUAAAACAGGCUAAUGCAUAAUAAAAUGACUGUUUCUGACAGUACAACAGAAGGACACUGUUUACAGUGCAACACAACAGAUUCAGCAAAGAGGAUUGGGAGAAUCAUGCUGGAGGAAGUGAUCACGUAAAAUAUUUUGAAAAAACAAAACAAAAACUGCUCUGCGUGCUUAUAAUCACAUGAAUAUGCCUGUGAAGGUUCUCAGUCAUCCAGGUCAUCGU